GACGAACGCUGGCGGCGUGCUUAACACAUGCAAGUCGAACGGAAAGGCCCUGCUUUUGUGGGGUGCUCGAGUGGCGAACGGGUGAGUAACACGUGAGUAACCUGCCCUUGACUUUGGGAUAACUUCAGGAAACUGGGGCUAAUACCGGAUAGGAGCUCCUGCUGCAUGGUGGGGGUUGGAAAGUUUCGGCGGUUGGGGAUGGACUCGCGGCUUAUCAGCUUGUUGGUGGGGUAGUGGCUUACCAAGGCCUUGACGGGUAGCCGGCCUGAGAGGGUGACCGGCCACAUUGGGACUGAGGUACGGCCCAGACUCCUACGGGAGGCAGCAGUGGGGAAUAGUGCACAAUGGGCGGAAGCCUGAUGCAGCAACGCCGCGUGGGGGAUGACGGCCUUCGGGUUGUAAACCGCUUUCGCCCGUGACGAAGCGUGAGUGACGGUAAUGUGUAAAGAAGCACCGGCUAACUACGUG
rnacentral:rRNA from 1 species